UACUCAUUAGGUUUUAGGGUUUCAGAAAGAGAGAGAUGAAAGUUUGUGAGGCAUCUGAAAGCCAACAUGAAGAGGAUGACGGUGCUCGUAGGGUUUUAACAUAUCGCAUCCAUGAUUUACCAGAUCAGAUGAAAAUCUCGAAGAGCGUGGUCUGAUCAACAGACACCAUUGUUUGGGGUCUCAGUUGAACCGCUGAACCACCCUUCAGGAAUCCGGUACUGCAAAAUCUCUUCUGCUGUUUGGGAGAAUGGCACCGGUGACAAAGAGGCUCGUAGAGUGAAAGCCGUCAAGACUGAAGUGCAAGCGCAUGCUCUGAAUGGCGGACUGUGACUCCAGGAGACUCUGCUGAGUUCUGAUCCAAUCAUCGGAUAACAACAACAUCGCAUUCACGAGACAAUCUCAGUUAAAGAGAAAGAUCAGAAGCAAACAUCUCAAAAGGAGGACAUUGUUUAUAUCUAGUUGAAAACAUUGUUCAAUUAUAAAUAUAGGCUAUAGUUUAGUUAAGACGAUUAGUUAUUCAUGAGCUCUAAUUCUGUGAUUGUAAACCUGAUAAUGGAUCACUGAAAGGAAAAUUUUCUC